GUUUGGGUCUCGCGCAAUGGCAGCCUGUGAACCGUGUCAGGGUAGGAAUACAGCAGCACUAAGCAGUGUCUCUCAUGUGCCGUGAGGGUGCCUGGGCCGA
rnacentral:SRP_RNA from 1 species